CGAACUCAGAAAUCCGCCUGCCUCAGCCUCCCACGCCCGGCAAUGGUGGAUAUUCUUGCUUCGGGUCAUCUGCUUAAGAAAACCUCUCACAGGUGCACGCAGAAGCUUGGAGUUUGGAUGACUCUGGGUGUGGUCAAGUUGACAAUGAAAAUUAGCUAUCACCUCCACACCCAGGUUCUUGUAAAAGACCUUAUCUCAAAAAUAAGGUGGGCAACUCCUGAGAAAUGACCCCCAAGGCUGAGCUCCCGCUUCCCCAUGCACAUGCGCACACACCCAGACCCAUUCAUGUAAAUAAAUAAAUAAUCUCGAGGACCUGCUAGCCUGGGGUAUGUACCAAAGUGACAAACAAAAGAAGCCUGCCUCAGACAAGGUGAAAGAAAGGUGAAGCUAGUCAUGCUAGUGGGUACUCUGAUUUCCAGACACACAUUGUAUUCACACAUCUGCACGCGCGCACACACACACACACACACACACACACACACACACGUAACAUUCCCAAAGCCCAAAAGACUUCACUGAAGGAAGUCACAUUCAUCAUAACAUUUUGGCUCAACUUCCUGGGACACGGGCACUCACACUGACUGCCCUCAGAUCACAGCCUGACUUCACGAAGCCCAGAUAUGCAGUUAGUCAUUACCGUUCAGAACCACACAAAGAAUAAAGAACAGAGUGGAUCUCACAUGACCGGCUGCAAACAGGAAGUGACUGUCAAUGGUUUCUAUUAAAGGUAGAAUGGUGGUAGGAUGGAGCAGUAGAGAACGUGGCUUGAUGCUAAACCUGGAGACCAGUGGACCAGGGUAAGAGAGAACUGACUCUCGAAAGUUGUCAUCUGACCUCCUCAUACAUGCUGUGACAAGUGCAUAUUCACACACACACACACACACACACACACACACACACACACACACACACACACCGUACCUCGAUAGUGACUAAAAACAGUCCUGUGUUAACCUUGAUGCCAUUUCAUUUUAAGGGAUGCCCAUUAAAGUGUUGGACUUUGAGUCACAGUUUCUCCCCCUGGCAGCCUGAUCCCUGGGAGUACAGCUUCUAGAGGCAGCAAGCACCCUUCCUUGACCUACAGAGGCAGCCCAUGGCUCCAUGCUCCCUUCCAGGUCUUCAGGGCUUCUGUCUGGGACAUGGCCAGAUGCCAUGCCAGACACAUGAGAUGCAGAAAUGCCUUCACAGACCAGUCCUGAGAUUUGUGUCCAAGAUGAUUCUAGAUCCUGUCAAGUUGACAAUCAAAAUGAACCAUCACAUUGGGGUAUCAGAGACCCCAAGCAUGCAACGAGCAAGCUCAGAUCUGAGGGCCAACGCCUAGCGGGGGAGAGUAUUAUGGACAGCGAGCAUAGCAUCGGCAGAUGCCCUAGGACAGAACAAGUGUGGAAUGUGUGCCUUCCAGAAAAAUGACCACAGGACUGAAGAAGAAAUAGCAACUCACACCCACCCCCCAAUCUACAUCCCCAUCCCCACCCAUGCUGAAACAGCUGGGUGGGCCAGCCAGCGCCUUGUGAAGGGCCUGGGCCUUUGCCUAAGGACAAGAGAGAGCCAGUCCAUCGUUUUAAAGUGAAUGAGGUACCUAAACAAAACCUAUGUGCUGAAAUGAAUCGGCUUGAGUGUAAAGAAGAAAACAGAGGAGAGAGCAGGGAGGAGCCAUCAGCCUCUGUGAAAAUUCAGAUGGGGAAGACAGAGCUGGAAAUGCAAAGGUGGGGUGUGAGGGGGGAGAGAACGGAAGAUUCCAGAAACUUCCACAGAUUCCAGGUCUUGGUUCACCCCUGGACAAUGACACUCCUGGAAACAGAGCCUCUGAUUCCUUUUUUUUGUACCUUAUUGCAAAAUUAAGUAAGGUGACUUCAGCCGCUGACUGGUUUCACCAGAUUUGGGCAGGAGCUUGUAGAACUGUGGUCAAAACGCAGGCCCGGUUUCCCUAGCUGCCUGCUGUGCAGCCCUGUCUCCAGGGGAGGAGGGACAGGAGCCAUCAGGAAGCUUGCCUCUGUUUUCCUACCCUUCUUUUAUUUCUCCAUCUACAUAUAAAGCAAUGUGCCUGUGUGA